CUGCUGCUGGCGGUCUGCAUCGCUGGACUCUUCAUCUGGAGGAGGAACAAUAACGGGUUUCGCCCUGCUAACAAGGGGCAGUGAUCAUAGAAGAGGAUGCUGAACUCCACAACUUUCUGUCAGCAUUCACCCGUUCACACACACAUUCACACACUGAUGGCAGAGGCUGCUGAGGUUCCAACUUUGCCCAUCAGGAUCUAAUCUAAAUACUCAUUCACACACCGAUGGCUAUGCCUUUGGGAGCAA